GCCAUGUCUAAAUAUUUAAAGUACAGGAUUCUGAAAUGCACAAUUAAUUUUUAAAACUAAAAGGAGGAACCAGAGACAAUACAUCUGCUAUCCCAAACUCUUUCAACUGUUUUCUCUAUCUAAAGUAAAAAACAACUCUCAGUGCACGAUUUAUAACCGCCAUAACUCUCUUCUGUUUGAGAUGCCACAUCUACAAUGAUUAAUGGGAAGAGUCCAGGGUUUCUAAUACUGUCUACUCUGAUGGCAAAUUGAUAUAUAGUCCUCAGCAAAUUCCAUUUGAGUCUAUGAUUUUCCUGUAAAUGUGCCCCAGAGUUGCUGCCACAUUCCUAAAUUCCAGCUAAAAUUUAUGAUCACACUUCCACCUUUGAUUAUUGUGUAGGAGUUUAAUGUAAAACUCCCAAAAUAGUAAUAUUACAAUUGUGUUUCUUUAUUUUAUUCCAGGCUGCCUGGUACUCUCAGUUUUACAUUAGCAAGCUUUUUGAUGAAAAUUUGCCUCAUUUUCUAUCAGCUGCAUUAAUAAAAAUAAGUAUUGCUGAGAAAAUAGGACCACGUGGCACAAUUAGCUAAUACACAUUCCUUCUAUUUCUUGUAAAUUAUGUUGAAAAAAAAAUGGCAGUAAAAAUGAGUGUGGGGAGUUCCAUGUGCUUCCCAAUGGCUGGUUGAAAAAGUACUAUAAAUUCAACACAACUAGCCUUCCUUGCUGUAAGCACCAAGAGCAGUGUGUUCACCGAAAUGUGACUGAAAUUGGAAAUAAGGUAGGGAUGAGGAAUGAAAAAGGCCAGGAGAUGAGAUGUGACGGAAAAAGCGGAGGCCAAGCAAGAUGAGCUGGAGGUGGAAAGGAGAGAGUGUAUGUUUGGAGAAGUUCUGAUGAGGAGCUGCUUGGUGACAAGAGGGUCGUUGAGUACCUGAGAGUACCUUUACCUAUUUUAUUAUGACCACCAAAGAUUUCAAAUGAUUUUCUGCAGCUCUUAGCUCCCGAGCACACUGGAGCUGAGGAAGGAGACGUUUCUCUCAGAAGAUCAUCAAAACACUCUAGCUGCAAAAAAAGCAGGGCACAUGUGCAGUAAAUGUAACCUGGAUCCGCGCAGUCACAAGCCUAUCUCCCUUUCCAGAAUACAAGACCCCUCUCUUCCCCUCUGCUUGCUUCUUUCAUCCUUACAUUUGUAUUACAUUUUUUCUUUUUCCUUUUUUUUUUUUUUUUUUUUUUUUUUUGAGACGGAGUCUCACUCUGUCACCCAGGCUGGAGUGCAGUGGCACGAUCUCGGCUCACUGCAACCUUCGCCUCCCAGGUUCAAGCGAUUCUCCUGCCUCGGCCUCUGAGUAGCUGGGACUGCAGGCGCACGGCACCACACCCAGCUAAUUUUUGUAUUUUUAGUAGAGAUGGGGUUUCACCACAUUGGCCAGGCUGGUCAUAAACUCCUGACCUCAGGUGAUCCAUCCACCUCAGCCUCCCAAAGUGCUGAGAUUACAGGCGUGAGCCACCACGCUUGGCCCCUUAUAUUACUUUUAAUGGCAAAAACCGCAAUUACUUUUGCACCAACCUAAUAUUAGUUUAAAACAUGGCUGCAAAAUUCUUAGACCCUCCUCCCAUUUAGAAGGGCGGUCUAUGUCAUCUCCCUUGAACUCGGUGGGUUUUGUGACUAUUGCAACCAAGAGAAGACAGUGGAAGUGAGGCCGUGUGAUUUCCAAGGUUGGACAUGAAAAGCAGUGUAGCUUCCGUCUUCUUUACUGGAACUCGUAUGCUUGGAGUCCUGAGCUCCACACCCAGUGUCUGACAACAUGCAACCACCAGGCUGUAAGGACACUAAGCCACACGGAGCCAUCCUGAUCACCAGACAUGUGAGGGAAGGUGUCUUUAUGUGACCCCAUCCUGGCAUCCGGUCUCCCCUGCCCUUCAAGUCUGCACAGCUGGAGCAGAGACAACCUAUUCCCGCUGUGCCUUCACUGACUUCUUGACCUGUAGCUUCCUGCGUGAGCAUAAAAAAAAUGGUUGUUCUCAGCUGCUAAGUUCUAAGAUAAUUUGUUACACAGCAGCAGUCUCUGGAACUAUUUCUUGUUUCAUUCCCACCUCUGAUCUUUCUCUGUGGAGGCUCCAAUCCUGAAAUAAGUAGUUUCCACUUGGGUGUGGCCCUAAAACUCUCUGUUCAAAUGAAAAUUUCCACAUAAGCCAUUGCCAACUGAGGCUCUGAGGCUUACAUUCUAGUGGAGUAGAAAGACAAAAAAAUGUGUAAACAUAAAAUAGUGACUUAUGCAGAAAAGAAAAGAAAAAGGAGGAUGUGGUAUGGAGAGUAACUGGAAGUGGGGAUGGCUACUUCGGUUAGGGUGGCCAGAAAAGAUCCAGGAAAAUCGAGGUGGCAGCUUUUAAGGCAGGGACUGAAAAUGAGAAGUCAGUUAAGAAAAGAUAUGGGAAACAGGGCUUCAGGUGACAGAGUAGUAAUUAUUACAUACCCCAAAGCAGGAAAAAUCAUUUCAUGUUCCAGGAGCAGAAAGUCUUGUGUGGCCAGAGAGAUGGGGAGGGGGCAGAGGGGGUGAGAAUUGUGAGAGGCGGAGCAAUUACGUGUCAUGAUGCCAAGUGCACAAGUGCUCUGAAGUUAUGGUCUCUUCCCUAAAACCAGAAGCUAUCCAAGGGUAAAAACAAUCUAUAUAGCAAUUAUCCUGUGCUAAUGGUUACUUUAUCAUCAUCAUCAUCAUCAUCAUUAUAAAGCUUGUAUUGAUUAUGCGCUUACUUUGGAUUAAUAUUUUGGAAAACAUCACUGUGCUCUUCCUUGCUUUUCAAAUUUAUAAAACAUUCUUAAGACAGAUAAAGGAAGAAGGAGUUAAUAUUCAGCAUCUGGCAUUCAAAACAGGCCAUUUGCCAAGUCUUACUGACAUAUUGUCUUGAGGAAGAAUGUUUAAAUGUCUGUAUUGCUUUUCACAUAUCCAAAUGAUUUGGCUCAAAGAGUUCUUCCAUGGUGAAAUGAAGAUUUGGCCUAGAAGAGUGUAGAGGAAACUGUCAUCUCUCUUUCUCAUCCCAGGAGUGUGAGAAGGAAAAGCAGGGAAGAACAAAGCAGUCAGAUGUGUGUGCCUUAAAGACUCUUGUGUGGAUAGAGGAGAGCCCGAGGGAUGAAGGAUUUCUGCCCCAUUCCUGUUCAGGGCUCUAGAAAGAUAUGCCCUCUCAGGCUGCCCCAUACCAAGGACAUUUGGAGGGAGUUAGGCAGAGGGAGGCCUCGAUGUUUAGCUUUUCUGAGCAGCUCUUUGUUCCCUAUGGCAACCUUUGAGGUAGGGCUGGGAGUCCAGGUGUUUAAGGGGGAAAUUAGAAAGUGACUAGCUGAGAGCUAGAACACAAGCCUGGCAAAUAAUGUGAUGGCACCCUAGCAAAGGCUGGGUGUGGAGAGUCCAUCCAGAGGCAUUGGUCUCUGUUCCUGAAGUGCGAUCAGUGGACACCAUGACUAUGCCUAUGGGUCCAGACUUUUCUCUCCCACCAAGAGGCUGCCUAAGCCCCUCCCCUCCCCUACAUACCAGACAUCAUCUUGGAGAGAAACCUGGAAAAUCCUGGAACACAGAGAUCUGAAAGUCUGAGCACCUUUUCCUAGAGACAGAGCAUUAUCUAAAAUCAAUACAUCAGACUAAGACAGCUUAGACAUUUAAUUUAUUUUUCCUUCUAAUCAGCAGUGGUUUGCUCAGGAGGAAGAUCACAUUAGUUAAAAUCAAAACUAAGAAGCUACCUCUUCUCCGCCCAUCUGGAUGAGAUGUCAGUGAACUUUGUGACUCACCACAAGUCUUGACAAAUAUCAUCUCAUUUAAUCCUCAGCAACCACACAAAGCAGACACUAUGACUGACUUCCAUUUUACAAUGAGGAGAGCUAGUCUAAGGUUAAGCAACUUUCCAAAGCUCUUACAGCUGUCAAGUAACAGAACUGUCAAAGAUUUUCAUGCUUGGCCACUGCAGGUAUUGCCUCCAUGUCCUUGAUACAGGCUCUGUGAUAAUAUGAUGGCAAUGAGCCUCAGACAUUUAUAUUUAUUUUAAAAACAUAAGGCACUUGCCAUGGGAGAGACACUGUUCUUACUGCUUCUAACAGGAAUUCAUUUAAACUUCUCAAUAAUCAUAUGAAGUAGGUACCAUUACCCCAUUUUACGUAUGAGAAUAGUGAACUAAAAAAGCUGCAUACUUUUCCCCAG
rnacentral:lncRNA from 10 species